rnacentral:rRNA from 1 species
GGAGGCCACUGCUAUGGGGGUCCGACUAAGCCAUGCGAGUCAUGGGGCGCCUUGCGCGCACCGGCGGACGGCUCAGUAACACGUCGGUAACCUACCCUCGGGAGGGGGAUAACCCCGGGAAACUGGGGCUAAUCCCCCAUAGGCCUGAGGUACUGGAAGGUCCUCAGGCCGAAAGGGGCUUUGCCCGCCCGAGGAUGGGCCGGCGGCCGAUUAGGUAGUUGGUGGGGUAACGGCCCACCAAGCCGAAGAUCGGUACGGGCCAUGAGAGUGGGAGCCCGGAGAUGGACACUGAGACACGGGUCCAGGCCCUACGGGGCGCAGCAGGCGCGAAACCUCCGCAAUGCGGGCAACCGCGACGGGGGGACCCCCAGUGCCGUGGCAUCGCCACGGCUUUUCCGGAGUGUAAAAAGCUCCGGGAAUAAGGGCUGGGCAAGGCCGGUGGCAGCCGCCGCGGUAAUACCGGCGGCCCGAGUGGUGGCCGCUAUUAUUGGGCCUAAAGCGUCCGUAGCCGGGCCUGUAAGUCCCUGGCGAAAUCCCACGGCUCAACCGUGGGGCUUGCUGGGGAUACUGCAGGCCUUGGGACCGGGAGAGGCCGGGGGUACCCCUGGGGUAGGGGUGAAAUCCUAUAAUCCCAGGGGGACCGCCAGUGGCGAAGGCGCCCGGCUGGAACGGGUCCGACGGUGAGGGACGAAGGCCAGGGGAGCGAACCGGAUUAGAUACCCGGGUAGUCCUGGCUGUAAAGGAUGCGGGCUAGGUGUCGGACGAGCUUCGAGCUCGUCCGGUGCCGAAGGGAAGCCGUUAAGCCCGCCGCCUGGGGAGUACGGCCGCAAGGCUGAAACUUAAAGGAAUUGGCGGGGGAGCACUACAAGGGGUGGAGCGUGCGGUUUAAUUGGAUUCAACGCCGGGAACCUCACCGGGGGCGACGGCAGGAUGAAGGCCAGGCUGAAGGUCUUGCCGGACACGCCGAGAGGAGGUGCAUGGCCGCCGUCAGCUCGUACCGUGAGGCGUCCACUUAAGUGUGGUAACGAGCGAGACCCGCGCCCCCAGUUGCCAGUCCUCCCCGUUGGGGAGGAGGCACUCUGGGGGGACCGCCGGCGAUAAGCCGGAGGAAGGAGCGGGCGACGGUAGGUCAGUAUGCCCCGAAACCCCCGGGCUACACGCGCGCUACAAUGGGCGGGACAAUGGGAUCCGACCCCGAAAGGGGAAGGGAAUCCCCUAAACCCGCCCCCAGUUCGGAUCGCGGGCUGCAACUCGCCCGCGUGAAGCUGGAAUCCCUAGUACCCGCGUGUCAUCAUCGCGCGGCGAAUACGUCCCUGCUCCUUGCACACACCGCCCGUCACUCCACCCGAGCGGGGUCUGGAUGAGGCCUGAUCUCCCUUCGGGGAGGUCGGGUCGAGUCUGGGCUCCGUGAGGGGGGAG